UGGGAACUAGUUGUGGGGUCCAUUCCACGGAUUCUGUGACGCAGUUAACGCAUUAAGUUUCCCGCCUGGGGAGUACGGCCGCAAGGCUAAAACUCAAAGGAAUUGACGGGGACCCGCACAAGCGGCGGAGCAUGCGGAUUAAUUCGAUGCAACGCGAAGAACCUUACCAAGGCUUGACAUAUACGAGAACGCUGCAGAAAUGUAGAACUCUUUGGACACUCGUAAACAGGUGGUGCAUGGCUGUCGUCAG
rnacentral:rRNA from 1 species